AGCAGCGUGGCUCAGUGGAAAGAGCGCGGGCUUGGGAGUCAGAGGUCCCGGGUUCUAAUCCCGGCUCCGCCA
rnacentral:tRNA from 1 species